UCCGAAGGGGGCUACCGUUGUUCGGAAUUACUGGGCGUAAAGGGCGCGUAGGCGGCCUUGUCAGUCAGAAGUGAAAGCCCCGGGCUCAACCUGGGAAUUGCUUUUGAUACUGCAAGGCUAGAGUUUCGGAGAGGAUGGUGGAAUUCCCAGUGUAGAGGUGAAAUUCGUAGAUAUUGGGAAGAACACCGGUGGCGAAGGCGGCCAUCUGGACGAACACUGACGCUGAGGCGCGAAAGCGUGGGGAGAAAACAGG
rnacentral:rRNA from 1 species